GUGUGUGUGUGUGUGUGUAUAAAAGCUUGUUUCAAAUAGUCCAUUUUAAAAUCUUCUAGAACAGGUACAAUGGUCAACGUCAAUCUGCAAGUCUGGCAUUUUGGGCUUGCAUAUGGACUCAAUGACAUGUUCUCUACUUUUAUAGCAGCUGUAGAAACUAGAAAGGAUGAAGAACCUUUAGCAGACCUAAAGAAACUGGAGUCUUAUUUCCUUCUAGUCUUGGAUAUGCCCCUGAGCUUUGCCUCAAGACACAAGAGGUAAGGCGUGAUUGGUAUAGUUCAUUGAGUCAAAUCUACUAAAGCAAACAAAUAAGCUGUAGUGAACAAAAAAAGUUUUAAAGGUGUUAUGGUAACAAAAGAUUGGAAAGGGAUGAAGGGUUGAUUGCUUUUUGAUAGGCAACUCAAUGCGAGAAUGGACUUUAGUGAGUUAUAGGCUCCUAGUUGACUGAAGUGUGAGCCUUAUUACCUGUUACGACAUCAUUGAUGAUGUGAUGUGAUUAUCAUCAGAUUAAAAUGAAAUUUGUAUUAAGUUAUUUUUAUGAUUGAGCUCCAUUUCAUUAUAAAAUAUUUGGAUAUAUACAAUAAAUAAUAAAUAUAUAUUAUUAUAUAAUUUUUAUAUAUGCACUACAAGUAUGUAUUGUUUUAAUAAAUCUUAACUCCUACGCUUUUGGGUGAUUCUAAGGCUGGCUGUUGAGUGUUGACUCAUUUAUUUGCUUGAAAUUGCCUAUUCUUAUUUCUAGUGCCUGUUAAUUGAGAAUUGUUUAUUGGAACAUGCACCAGUUAUAAUUUUUAUCUCCUUCACACGCAUGAUAUAUAAGAAAUAGGUUACUGUAUGCAUAAAAGAGAAUAUAAAAGAAGGAAAUUUAGAUGGUUUUUUGUGGAGAUUUAAGUUCUUAUAUUUGAGUGUCAAAUUGUCAGUUUGUCGCCCUUACUAAUAGUUGCUUAAAACUAUGGUACAAGAUCAACAAAGGGUAAUUUAUUACCCUUGUAACUUUUACACUUCAUUUAAGAGUAGUGUAAGGAGAUAAGGUGAGGUUUUUUAAAGUAAGGUAAGGUAAAGUAAUAAAAGGUAAGAUAAGGUUUUUUUUUAAUAUUAUGUUGUUUGAGAGGAAGGUAAGGUAAAUGAUGAUUUACUAAUCUUAUUUUUUUUUAUUCAAAGGUAUGAAAAGAUAAAGAUUGGUAAUAACUGAUAUUUAAUUUAUAAAAACCUUUUCAAUGCCCCCAAUUUGAUGGGUUGAUAAACCGAGAGUUUUAUAGAUUUUUAAAACCUUCAAAAACCCUCAAAAACUUUACUUUUCCCAUAAAAUCUCCCUUCCAAAUAAGUAUAUGUCUUACUUUACUUACAUUAAAAAACCUUACUCUACCUCCAAAAACUUACUCUCAAACAAAAUGUUAACUCGUGUAAUGUUGUUUGGAUACUUAAAGAUGCUAGGUUAAUUUUUUAACCUAGUUAAUAUUUAUCCCCUAUUUA
rnacentral:misc_RNA from 1 species